rnacentral:rRNA from 1 species
AUGAACGCUGGCGGCGUGCCUAAUACCUGCAAGUCGAGCGAACAGAUGAGGAGCUUGCUCCUCUGACGUUAGCGGCGGACGGGUGAGUAACACGUGGAUAACCUACCUAUAAGACUGGGAUAACUUCGGGAAACCGGAGCUAAUACCGGAUAAUAUAUUGAACCGCAUGGUUCAAUAGUGAAAGACGGUUUUGCUGUCACUUAUAGAUGGAUCCGCGCCGCAUUAGCUAGUUGGUAAGGUAACGGCUUACCAAGGCAACGAUGCGUAGCCGACCUGAGAGGGUGAUCGGCCACACUGGAACUGAGACACGGUCCAGACUCCUACGGGAGGCAGCAGUAGGGAAUCUUCCGCAAUGGGCGAAAGCCUGACGGAGCAACGCCGCGUGAGUGAUGAAGAUCUUCGGAUCGUAAAACUCUGUUAUUAGGGAAGAACAAAUGUGUAAGUAACUAUGCACGUCUUGACGGUACCUAAUCAGAAAGCCACGGCUAACUACGUG